rnacentral:rRNA from 1 species
GGCCAUAGCGAGGGGCCAAGCACCCGAUCCCAUCCCGAACUCGGCCGUGAAAACCCUCUGCGCCGAUGGUACUGCACCUUAAGGUGUGGAAGAGUAGGUCGCCGCCAGGC